AAGAUAAAAAUGAAAUAAAACAGUUGCAUUUAUGAAUUUCUUGUUCUGUUUAUUGUUUCACGUUCGAUUUCCACCGUUUAUUUUGUUUGAAGUUUUGAUCGUUGUUUAUUCCGUACAAGUAGCAAUAACAACGUAACGUCGUUUUUUACACUUCCCUAUUCUGCACAAUGCUAAUACCACUCCUCACUCCAAUGGAUAUUACUCCUGCAAACAUUUAUACUUACUGCCGAAAAUGGUACCAAAAUAAUCAUGAAUAAAUUAUCUAUCAACUGUAGUACGGGUUUUAUCUAAUUAUGUGAAACAAAAUAAAACGAGCAAAAAGUUUCACAAGCAUUUUUUGUAAUAUGUCGUUUUUCUGCCGGUCUUGGGACGUUUUGACUGUCAUUUUAUACUUUCGAUUUCGGAUAUUUUAAGAAUUGUUUUGAUUGUCAAUGACUUUACAAGGAUACAUUGACGUCUCCUGCAUCGUGAGAAAUAAAGCCAUAGAAUACAUUCAUACCACUCCAAUUCAGCCAGUCAGAAUGAUGGGAAGGAUUGCAGAACUGAGUUUCACUCUCACCUGACUGAUGCAGAUUCAGUAACCUAAUUGCUCAUGAUGGUUUCUGAGAAAAAAACACCUUGGUGUAAUUUGACAGUAUUUUUCUGUAUUUGACAGUGGUUCUAUCAUGCAACAGUCAUACCAUGAAGUGUCUCGCAGAUUCUCUCUCAAUUCCUGCAAUAUCCAAGAUUACAGUGUAGUACUAGCAAAGAGGAUUAAUUUUCUUGCAAUAAGAAGUAUCUGCACUUCCAAAUACCCCUGUACAGCAUGAACAGUUCCUUCAUUUUUUGAGUGAUUAUAGAGUGAAAAUGUUUCCAUAUGAAAUGUUUCCUUUUUAUGUGUAAAACUUGUCAUGAAUGGUUACAAAUACAUGCAUGGACAUUAUGAUUCCAAAUCUAUGCACAUUUUGAUUCCAAUAAUUAAAGUAUUUUAAAUUUGAUUUGAAACAGAAAUAUUGUCCUUAUGUUUGUUUCUAAACAUUAUCUGGUAUUAUUCGUGUUUAUAGUUUCCAUGUCAAUUUUAAAAAAAGUCGGUUUUUUUAAAGAUGCACUCUUACUCCCACAUAAGAUUUACCACAAUUAAUACUUUUGUUUUAUUAUUCCAAAAAGGAUGAAUAAAUCAGGGAUGAUAAAAUUCCGGAUUAAUCCGGAAUUCCGGAUUUAAGGCCCCACAGAUCGAUUUUAAUAUAUAUGUAAAUCCGUUGAGUUUUUUCUAGGGAGGGAUGGGUAUAGGGAGCGAUUCGAGUUAUGUUCGAACAAUAUGGGUACGAAAGGUGAGUUUUCCGGAAGUGUAAAGCCGGAAAUUAACGAACCUAUUUACAUCUUGCCAAUCAAGCUAUAUGAUUGGUUAAGAUAGCGUCGGGUGAUUACGGAAAUUUCCGAUCGGACAAUAAGAAACAUGUAUCCGGAUGGUUCGUAUCCGGAUAUGACAGACGACGAAGAUUAAUAAACGAGUAUUGGAAAAAGACGACCACCACCAACUUCUAAAAACAUCGAUUCGUCGAUUUAAAGGUAUAUUUGCUAUUUAGUUUUAAGAGAAACUCCCGAAACGGUACUUUUAAAGUUAAUAGAAUGUGUUAAAACUGAGAAUGGCUUUUUGCGCAUGUAGCAAUAUUUCGGAAAUCCCGAUUCGGAUUUUUUUGUAAUAAACGAUUUUUAUUUUACAAAUUUUAUUUGGCAGAUUGAAGUUUACGAUGUAAACCGUUUCUUUAUUGUUAUCAUAAUGUUUGAAGCAUUGUUCUCAAUAAGAAGGGGCUGUUGACCAUAAUGGAAGGUUUAGAAAAUCACUAUCCCCACCCAUGACACAUUCAAGGUGGCUGUAUCAACCAUUAAGCACAAGCGAGCAGUGUUUUUAUCCUUUUACCAGUUCACCAAUCACUUUUUAUCAUGUUACUUAAAUUUUGUUCUCUUUUAUACCCUUUUCUAAUGUGAUUUGCCUCAUCAGUGUUUUAUUUUUUUCACUAACAAGCCGGCGCGCACCGUUCAUGUCAGUAACACUCGGAAGAGGGGUUGACAUUAAACAGAGAUAGAUAGAUAGAUAAAAUUGGGUGGUUUAAAAUUUAAUGAAAAAAUGAAUUAAUAUUUUGUAGAAGUAAUAUAUAUAUUAAGUAAGAGCAAUCAGUUUAUUUUCUAUUUGAGACAGUUCAACAAAUCUUCUUGAGGACCCAGUUUGAGUGAGAUUUAAUUUCUAUAGUUGUAAUUUGUAUUUCCAGGUAUAUUGAUGGUUCCAAAAGUCAGGGAUCAACAGACACCUCAGCCAGUGCAUCCGGUUGUUCCUGUCACUGACCGACAAUUCAAUUCAGGGGCCAUGAUUCUUGGAUUUAUGGCUGAUCAUGACCUUCCAUACUCCCUGGUACCACAUGUAGUGAGUCUUACUUAAGACAUUUGCCAAAGAUACAAAAGCUCUCAGCGAAUCAAAACUUCAAAGGUGUACAGCAUCAUAUAAGAUGACUUACGGAGAGGCAAGCCAUUUCAAUGAUGAACUUGUGGAGGAGUUAAGUGAUACUCUGAUUUGUUUGAACUUAGAUGAGUCAACAAACACAUAAAAUGAGAAAACUGUUGCAGCUAUUUUUGUGCUAUAGAGAAAGAAAUAGUGUUGAGACAUUUGUCCUCCUAUCACAAGGGCUGAUUCUGAAUCAAUUUUCAAGGAAUAUGAAAGCCUGUUUGAGAGACUUAAACUUCCGUGGGACAAUCUAGAGUGUGUGCUACUGGACACCUGUAACAUCAUGAAGAGAACAAAUCUGGCUUGGAGUCCAGAAUACGUCAACUUGUCCCUCACCUCAUAGACAUUGAUGGUGACACAGCCCGCCAUGUCCACAACGGUUACCCUGCCAAAGCAUUUACAGUUCCAUUUGGAUAUUACUUGGAAUAAUAUAUAUAAUAAUAAAUAAUAUUAUAUUCUCAUCAAAUGUGCAGAUAAUGGAAUAAAUACUCUUAUGUCUGAUAUAUAAAAUUUGAAUAAAUAACACCUUACAAUAAACAUUUGCAAGCUUGAUAUUUGAUAUGUUAUUCAUUAUUAUUUAUCAAACAUCCCACAGUAUAGACUAUUCAUGCACAGGCAUUUGAUCAUAGCCAUUUGAGUUUUAUGGGAAGUGGACAACUGAACCAAAAUGUAAGGUUCAUGUCUUAUGCCUGUGAAGAUUCCUGAUAAUUGUUCUGAUUGCGGCAGUCUCCUGUUGGACAUAAUUAUAUCUACCAAACCGAACGGUGUACUCCUUUAACACUAUUCUAAGGCAAAAAAGGGUAUUAGAAACCCUGAAAUGCUGAAAGCUUCGGGGGGCUUCGCCCCCCUUGUCCCCCCACCAGGGCUUUGCCCUGGACCCAUCGGGGGCCUUUAGCGGCCCACUGAACUCCAAGCAGACAUUUUCAGGAUUGGCAACUUGGCCUUGUUAUCAUCCCUGAUAAAUGUUGAAAACAAUGGUUCUAAUGAAGGAUGCCUACUUCUACUUGAAGGAAAUGUGCAUAAAAGACAGUAUUUCUACCAUUUGAGAUCAUAGUAGAUCACAGUAAAUCUUUAUGCAUUCACCAAUCAUUUAAUAUCUUUGCUUUUUCAGCUUAAAUACACGGUUUAAUACAAUAUUUUUAUCAAUACUUAAUAUUUUACAAAAAUGAAUUAUGAAGUAAGUUGUUAAAGGGUUAACAGUCAAAGUAUAUGUUUGUUAUACAUGUGUAUGCAUUGAUACUGAAUAAGAGUGUCACUUUAAACAGUUGCCAUGGUAACUGUAGAGUCUAGUUUUCUUAAGAAACUGUAAUUGUUGUCUAAAAACCUUUGUAUUUUCAAUGUGAUACUUUUUAGCAUGUCCGCUUCAGUCAAUGAAAUAUUUCUGUUAUUUGUUAAUCAUUUGGUCAUACUUUGUAUACAAUUAUAUUUAUAAUUUAACCUUGAAAAUUGCUGACAAUCUCAUACUUAUAUUGAAAUAUUCAGAAUUGCUAGAUGGGUUGAAGUUCACCUUUAUUACAACUGUCAGGCAAAUCAUGGCAAGAUGUACAUAAUUCUCCUUUUUAACAAAAAGCGAUGUUUAAAGCAUUUUUUGUAUUUUUAUUGAAUGGUUACCAUGGCAACUAAUUUUUUGUUUGCCUUUAAUCUUCCUAUUUAUAAUACUAUUAAUUGUAAAAAUGCAACAGUCAAGCAGUGAAUGGAAGAAUGUAAAUGUUCUUUGUCUUUUACCUUUUUCAAGCUCAUUCUUCAAAAUAUAAAGCAAUUUUAAAAUUUCUUAAAAAUGGACGUUUUUUCAUCAUUUUUUUAAAGUAAAAUAAUUUUACUUAAAACUUUGUUUAGGGUCUGAUAUUUAGGAAUGUGUAAUAAAUUUAUAGAAAAUAAACAAAACGUGUUGUUUGGCAUUAUUUAUUUCAUUUAAAUUCCGAAGUUUUGAAUUUGAUUUAUUUUGGCAGAAAAAUUGAUAAAAAUGUAAAAUUAAAAGGGCCAUAAUUCUGUCAAAAAUUGAUGGAUUUUGAAAAAAUGUGCAUAUUUGAGUUUGUAAUGACAUAACCUUUAAAAUGAUAUAUCACUUUAAUAUACCGCAUUAAAUUAUUUUUUUACGUUGUUAUUGCUAGUACAAGAUGCAUUAUUACGAAGAUUUGAUAAGGAGGUAAGUUUACUCUAUUAUCAUUAUCAUUAUUCUGUAUGAAAAAAUCGUAGCAAUAUUAAAGACUCACCAAAUAUAAAGUGGGUUGGGUAAGGUAAAUUUUUAAAUUUUUGCUUAAACUUCAAUUUUAAUACAAAUUUGCAACUACAUGAUGUCAAAUUAGACAGUGUGUCCCAUUUAUAAGAAAACAUUUUGAUUGCAAGUGUUUUGAACAAAACAAAAAAAUGUAAAAAAGAUAGUGUACUUUUGAUUUCAGUUGCAUUUGCAGCAAGCUAAUCAUUGACUAAUUUUUUAUUGAAAGUGAAUUGUUUCCUUUUUUAUUUUAAGAGACAUUGAUGUAAAUUUUACUGACAUUUUUGUCAUGUCGGUACCAAGUUAAAGUGGUAUUAAUGAAAUGUAAAAUGUGCCAUUUCCUGCAUUUUUAUAUUA